AUAAAAAGCUUGGUGUAAUGAUCUUCAAUAAGCUUCAUAACCUCUGUUUGUCCCUACACCCAGUGCCCAUUAGUGUCUUUCAGCUUCUCAAUUCUAAUCUUGUCUCUUCUCUAGAUCAUUGACGCAUGAAAAAAAGCUGUGUUUUUGUCACCCACAUUUCAACCACUUGAGUCGCGCUCUUUGUCCCCAAAAUUUCUCUUCUUGAAUCUACAACUUUGAUAAUUCUUCCUUAACUUCUUGAAUCAGCUGUUGUUUAUUGCUAGAGAAAUUAGAGUUUUGAAGGCCUACAAUUUUAUUCUACCAUCUCUCUGUCUACUCUUCUAAAAGUGCUCCUACUCCAAUUAAUGUGUUCUAGCUUGCAAUUUUUCAUUUUGUUCAGCACUUGAUCCACUCUCCUGUCCUGACCGAUUCCUUCUCCCAUCCCUUUUUAUUAUUUUUUCACAAAUUUCACUAUCCUAUAAAGCUUCAUAUUUAAAGAGCUUGGUGGUUUUAUGUUUUUGUUUAGUGGAUAAUAUUAGUGGGCUGUGGUCUGAAGAUAUGGUUGGUAGCGCAGUGAGAGUGGCGUGUUUAAGCAUAGCCUUCCACUUCCAAUUGACCAUAGCCCUGUCCAACUUUUCUCUAGUGAUGACUUCAUCCCGAGGAUUACUAAACCAGGUGUAUUUGUUACCUUUUGGCUCCAAAUCCAUUAAUGCAUUACUAUCCACAAAGUUCUUAAAUUCUUCUAAUUGUGCUUUAGAUUUUGGAUGCAUGCCUAUCUUUUCCUCUUAUUGAAAGAUGUCAUUAAAGUCUCUUAUGAAGCACCUUGGUGUGUCUUGGUUUGAUGGUGAUAGCUUCCUCCACAACAUCUUUCUUUGUUUGAAGUUCGGGUUCCCAUAUAGAAAAGCACAAUCCCACCUAUCCACAAUAUUGGUAUCAGUAUGAGUCAAUCUAAUUUUGAUACCAAGAGUAAACUUCAAUAUUCAAAUUACUUUUUCAUAAAAUACUUAGACCGCCGAACAGGCCCCAGAGUUCUACACAGAAGAACUUAUCAUAAUACAACUUCCUAGAUAGCAUCUUAAUUAUGUCAUAUUUUGCUCUAGUUUCUAUUAGGAAAAUAACAGCUGGCUUAUAUUUUUUGCACAUGCCCUUUAGCUCCACAAAUGUUGCGGCGUCCCUUAUUUCGCAACAAUUGCAAUUGAGGACGAUCAUGGCUGCGUUGGGCCAUAGUUAGGCCCACCUCCUCAACCAUGUUUUGGAUUCUCGGGAUUUCCAAUGCUCUGGUGGUGCUUUCUUCUUCUUCACAACUUCUGAAGCUCUUCUAGGUAUGGGUUCUUUUUCAUCAUCAGAAGCUAACUCCACGAUGUAUAUACCUCCUUUUCCAUCCAUGUGAAUCUGUCUUUCUUUUUCUCUCUUUUUUCCCUCCUUUUAUUUUGACUUGUCUCUGAUAGCCCAUAUCAUCUUCUCGUGCAACUCUGAGUUUUCAUGUGUGUCUUAUGUCCUAUCAUUAGCUGAUGUAUUAUUACUCUUUUUUAAUCAAUUUUUCCAUAUGACUCUCCAUUUCCUAUGUGUAUAGCCCACAGCCUAGUCCAUGGCCCUGCACCAUUUGUUGAAAGUUUUCUUGCUGGGUUUGUCUGUUCUGGCUCAGCCAUUUUAUUGAAAUUUUUGGUCCAAUUAUCUUUGUUUCUUGUUGGACUCAUUUUUUCUAGCUGGAUUUUUUCUUUUUUCUUGUUUUGGUUGGGUCUUAACUUGGAGACUGGUCCAAUUAGAAAAUUGUGGUUCAUAGUUCCAUCUGUUUUUAGUAUCUCCCCAUAUUCCCCCUUACUUGUUUAGCUUUCAUUUUCUUAAGCUCUUGGAUUAAAUCACUAAGGUGAUAGAUUAGUCAUCCUUCUCGGUUAACUGUACCUCUUGCUUAUAUUAGUGGAUUUGCUAUCUCCUCCUGCACCCCUAAGUUACCAAAGCCGCUUCCACUUUCCCUUAUUUCAAAGAGCCUCUUUCCUGAUAUCACUUCUUGUUCAGAUUUUUGCUUUACCUGUUGGUUCUUCGCACUAUCCUCAGCUUUCUAGUUAUUCCCUUUCUCUUGUUGUUGUAUUUGUAUUCCAUGCGCUUGCGCUUCUCCUCCAACUUCCUGAGUCAUGGAUUUAUCUUCCAAAUCAAGGCUCCUUCGAACUAGAGCUCUCACAUGGCUGGUACUAAGCUCUUUUGUAUACCUUGGUUCAUUUGGGUCUCGGAUUGACAUGGCCAUCUGGUUCUUGCAUCUCCUCUUGUCAUGAUCUAUGAUUCCACAAUUGAGGCAGAAAGUAUCCUGUAAAUGUUCAUACUUAAAGCUUAUCCAAGUCUUAGGGAGAUGAUCUCUUGCCAUCCAGAAGUCAAUUUGUAGAGGUUUAGUGAUGUCUAUCGCGACCUUGAAUCUCAGAAAAUUACUCAUUAACAUCCCAUCUAUUAUGGGAUCCUCCACUUCCUCUAAGAUUCCCACUAUAUUUUCUAUUGUUGAUGCUGUUUCUGCUCUCAUGUAAUUUCUCAGGGAGUCCAUAAAGAUGGACCCAAAACACCAUAAACUCAUGACCCACUUCAUAUAUGGAUACAUUUUGACACCAAGGUUGUAAGUUUAACAAGUUUUUUCUAAUGCUCCAUGGCCCAUUGUUAAUAAUCUACUUUUUGUUGUUCCUAUCCUUGAAUCUAAUAAGAAACUUGUUUCUCCCUACCUCAGAAAAAGCUACUCUUGUUGGGUUACCCAACAAGCCAAGUAGAGUGUUCUUACAUACCUUGAACUUCAUUUUUUUUCUCUAAGAUAACUUUGUCCACCAAGUUGAAGCAAUCUGGAUCAGAACCUGGGCUCCUGUUGAGGUUGAUAGUGAUUGUUUGGCCUUUAAUAAAAUCAGUCCAAAGUUAGCCAUUGGUAAGUGGAGAUGCCUAUUGCAAUAUUAGAUGUAUACUGUUAUAUUCGUAGUUGGAUAUUAUUGUAAUGUUGUUAAUAGAAAUGUGUUUUGGUUUAAUGUAGAUAGUUAGAGUUUGAAAGAAUGGAUGUUUAUGGCUUUAAAGAGUGGAUUUACAUAACCAAUGUUCGGGAUUAUCUCUCAAUGCGAGAAAGAAUUUUCUCUCCUUGUAAGAGCUAGAGCAAAGCAAUUAAUAAAAUCUUAAUUAAACAA